CGUGCAGGCGGUUCGGUAAGUUGGGCGUGAAAUCUCCUGGCUUAACUAGGAGAGGUCGUUCAAUACUACCGGACUUGAGAGUGAUAGAGGAAGAUGGAAUUCCCGGUGUAGUGGUGAAAUGCGUAGAUAUCGGGAGGAACACCAGUGGCGAAAGCGAUCUUCUGGAUCAUUUCUGACGCUCAGACCGAGAAAGCUAGGGUAGUAAACG
rnacentral:rRNA from 1 species